UACGUAGGUGGCAAGCGUUGUCCGGAAUUAUUGGGCGUAAAGCGCGCGCAGGCGGCCUCUUAAGUCUGAUGUGAAAAGCCCCCCGGCUCAACCCGGGGGAGGGCCAUUGGAAACUGGGAGGCUUGAGUAUAGGAGAGAAGAGUGGAAUUCCACGUGUAGCGGUGAAAUGCGUAGAGAUGUGGAGGAACACCAGUGGCGAAGGCGACUCUUUGGCCUAUAACUGACGCUGAGGCGCGAAAGCGUGGGGAGCAAACAGG
rnacentral:rRNA from 1 species